rnacentral:lncRNA from 15 species
UUAAUGUCUUUCAAUCAAUUAUGUAAUUGUGAAUUUAUAGAAAUGUAAAAAUAACCGGUUUGACGGCACUUAUGGCAUGUGUUAUAAAUGAACGUUAAGAUUAAGAUUAAGAUUUAUGUCAGCUUUAAAAACUAUAAAUAAACGGCGGGCUGCACUGAACUUUAUCAUAAAUAACGAUACUUAUUUCCUCACUGUUCACAGGCUGUUUGCUCCUGAGGGGCCCAGAACCAGUCACCUCUUGAUGGUCCAUGCUGUGUUAAAUGCUGAGGGUCUCCCGGGCACACUGUAGCCCUGUAGUACUACUCAACUGCAUAAAAAGCAAUGGGUAAUCUACUCAACACAAGAAGGACUUCUCUCCUCCUACGCCCCCAAAUUCCCAGAAGACUUCUCGUCAUAUUUGCUGUUGCGCAAAAGAAAUAUACAGCAGACGAACUGUGACCUUUGUCCCCCCUUCCCUGAAGGUCACCUGUCUACUUUACAUACACAGAUGAGGUCCUCUUUUCCGGAAAUGAUAAGACAAACAGCAGAGAAGAGCGCAGGAUCCACAUCACUGAGACUGCAGCCGCCAUGGAGGGCCUUUUUCCACUUCUCCAGCCAUGUUCGGCCAAGAUUUAUUCGACUCUUCAACCAAAAUAUAAUGGUUUCCAUGAACAGGGCCGUGGUGCAGGAGACAGAUACUCUGAACUCGGCUGUAGAAAAG